CCCUUAGAUGUUCUGGGCGGCACGCGCGCUACAAUGAUGCAUUCAAAAAGUCUUCUGACCUUAGAAGGUUGGGUAUUCUCCAAAGUGCAUCGUGAUGGGAAUAGUUUAUUGCAAUUUUUAAUCUUGAACGAGGAAUUCCUAGUAAGUACAGGUCAUCAACUUGUGUUGAUUACGUCCCUGCCCUUUGUACACACCGCCCGUCGCUCCUACUGAUUGAGUGUCUCGGUGAAUUCUUUGAUCUUCUGUCGAUUCAGUUCACUGAUCCGACGGUGGAAAGUUGAAUGAACUUCGUCACUUAGAGGAAGGAGAAGUCGUAACA
rnacentral:rRNA from 1 species